AGUGAACGCUGGCGGUAGGCCUAACACAUGCAAGUCGAACGGCAGCACAGUAAGAGCUUGCUCUUACGGGUGGCGAGUGGCGGGCGGGUGAGGAAUACAUCGGAAUCUACUUUUUCGUGGGGGAUAACGUAGGGAAACUUACGCUAAUACCGCAUACGACCUACGGGUGAAAGCAGGGGAUCUUCGGACCUUGCGCGAUUGAAUGAGCCGAUGUCGGAUUAGCUAGUUGGCGGGGUAAAGGCCCACCAAGGCGACGAUCCGUAGCUGGUCUGAGAGGAUGAUCAGCCACACUGGAACUGAGACACGGUCCAGACUCCUACGGGAGGCAGCAGUGGGGAAUAUUGGACAAUGGGCGCAAGCCUGAUCCAGCCAUACCGCGUGGGUGAAGAAGGCCUUCGGGUUGUAAAGCCCUUUUGCUGGGAAAGAAAAGCAGCAGGUUAAUACCCCGCUGUUCUGACGGUACCCAAAGAAUAAGCACCGGCUAACUUCGUG
rnacentral:rRNA from 1 species